rnacentral:rRNA from 1 species
UUGGCGGACGGGUGAGAAACACGUGGGAAUCUGCCUGAUAGUGGGGGACAGCCCAGCGAAAGCUGGAUUAAUACCGCAUACGCCCUAAGGGGGAAAGCAGCAAUGCGCUAUCAGAUGAGCCCGCGUAAGAUUAGCUAGUUGGUAAGGUAAAGGCUUACCAAGGCGACGAUCUUUAGCUGGUCUGAGAGGAUGGCCAGCCACAUCGGGACUGAGACACGGCCCGGACUCCUACGGGAGGCAGCAGUCGGGAAUAUUGGACAAUGGGAGCAAGCCUGAUCCAGCAAUACCGCGUGUGUGAAGAAGGCCUGCGGGUUGUAAAGCACUUUCAGUUGGGAAGAUAAUGACGUUACCAACAGAAGAAGCACCGGCUAACUCCGUGCCAGCAGCCGCGGUAAU